AAACAGGGAGCUUCUAUCCAUAUACUGGCCAGGGAGGUGAGAGGAGCCGCCGAGGACAAGGGCAUAGGGAGGAGCAAGAGAGGAGUGGCGGGGGUGUUGGGGAAGGAGGUGGCCUCUCUCUUCCAAUUGGAGAAGCGGAAGGAGUGGCCAUGGGCUGCGGCUCCUCUCCUCACUACAAGUAAAAGGCGUCUCAGGGAGGGAGUAGGGGAUGGGCUCUACUGCGGCUUUGCGCUUACUACUGGCACAGAACACCCCCCCCCCUUUUCCACACACAUGUCUGUGUUACAGAAGACAAAGGAGAUGAAUGACAUGAAAGAUCAUAUAAAACUACUGAUGAUAUCUACAGCACUGUUGGCCCCCAAAGAAAACUAUAGGCUACUUUACCCCCCUUUAUAUAUCUGUGCUAAUUGUAAGCACAUUGUAUGCACUGCUGCACAAUCAACGCACACUCCCACCGCCAACACACAUGCACAUAUAACAUA